rnacentral:rRNA from 1 species
CAGCAGUGAGGAAGGUGGAUAUGUUAAUAGCAUAUCAUUUGACGUUAGCUGCAGAAGAAGCACCGGCUAACUCCGUGCCAGCAGCCGCGGUAAGUACGGGAGGGGUGGACGAGGUACGUUAAGUCGGUAAUUACGUGGGACGUAAAGCGCAUGCAGGUGGUUUAGUUAAGUCAGAUGUAGAAACGGCCCGGGGCUACAACCGUACGGUAAUUGCUAUUUAGAAACGUGGACAAACUAGAGUACUGUAGAGGGGGUAGAAUUUCAGGUGUAGCGGUGAAAUGCGUAGAGAUCUGAAGGAAUACCGGUGGCGAAGGCGGCCCCCUGGACAGAUACUGACACUCAGAUGCGAAAGCGUGGGGAGCAAACAGGAUUAGAUACCCUGGUAG